AGUAGCAGCAGGUAAUAGUAGCAGCAGGUAAUAGUAGCAGCAGGUAAUAGUAGCAGCAGGUAAUAGUAAUAGCAGGUAAUAGUAAUAGCAGGUAAUAGUAGCAGCAUUGGUAGUAGCAGCAGGUAAUAGUAGCAGCAGGUAAUAGUAGCAGCAGGUAAUAGUAAUAGCAGGUAAUAGUAGCAGCAUUGGUAGUAGCAGCAGGUAAUAGUAGCAGCAGGUAAUAGUAGCAGCAGGUAAUAGUAGAAGCAGGUAAUAGUAGCAGCAGGUAAUAGUAGCAGCAGGUAAUAGUAGCAGCAGGUAAUAGUAGCAGCAGGUAAUAGUAGCAGCAGGUAAUAGUAGCAGCAGGUAAUAGUAGCAGCAGGUAAUAGUAGCAGCAGUGGUAGUAGCAGCAGGUAAUAGUAGCAGCAGUGGUAGUAGCAGCAGGUAAUAGUAGCAGGUAAUAGCAGCAGCAGGUAAUAGUAUCAGCAGUAGUAGUAGCAGCAGGUAAUAGCAGCAGGUAAUAGUAGCAGCAGGUAAUAGUAGCAGCAGUGGUAGUAGCAGCAGGUAAUAGUAGCAGCAGGUAAUAGUAGCAGCAGUGGUAGUAGCAGCAGGUAAUAGUAGCAGCAGUGGUAGUAGCAGCAGUAGUAGUAGCAGCAGGUAAUAGUAGCAGCAGUGGUAGUAGCAGCAGGUAAUAGUAGCAGCAGGUAACAGUAUCAGCAGUAAUAGUAGCAGCAGGUAAUAGUAUCAGCAGUAGUAGUAGCAGCAGGUAAUAGUAGCAGCAGGUAAUAGUAGCAGCAGGUAAUAGUAUCAGCAGUGGUAGUAGCAGCAGGUAAUAGUAGCAGCAGUGGUAGUAGCAGCAGGUAAUAGUAGCAGCAGUGGUAGUAGCAGCAGUGGUAGUAGCAGCAGGUAAUAGUAGCAGCAGGUAAUAGUAGCAGCAGUGGUAGUAGCAGCAGGUAAUAGUAGCAGCAGGUAAUAGUAGCAGCAGUGGUAGUAGCAGCAGUGGUAGUAGUAGCAGUGGUAGUAGCAGCAGGUAAUAGUAGCAGCAGGUAAUAGUAGCAGCAGUGGUAGUAGCAGCAGUGGUAGUAGCAGCAGUGGUAGUAGUAGUCAUCAUGUCUUUUUACUGCAUCUUCUGUCCAUCACUGAGCACAUGUUUGAUGUUCAAUAGUUGUUGUUUUUUCUCAGCAAACUGUGUCUGUCUAUUCUCUAGUCUCUGUCCUCUUCUCUCCCUCCGUCUCUAGUCCAAGUCACCUCCCCCUCUGGCCAGCUGCAACCACGGCAACAGAGGGGGUCAUGAUUCAAAGCUCGUGUUCUACCUCUUGUCAGAGCAUCACAGGCUGACUUUGACUCACUGUGUAUUGUCUGCAUGUAACGUUGUGUUGUGUGGACUGGAGGUUCUCAUCAAGGCAGUAUCAGGGAACCUAGAGCCUCAAAUAUCAGAUGAACAGGACUUCUAUAGAGAUAUAAAUAAUUGUAAUAACAGUUGAGCUCUACGUUCUAUAAUUGUUCCUCCACCCAUCUAUCGAUCCAUCCAGUCUUUCUUGACCUUGUGUUGUCAUAUCAAAGUAUCUGUACGUUAACCAGUUGUCCCGAACCGGCUCGUAGCCCGUAACAAAAAGGUAGAGAACAUGGAGAUCAAGGAAUAGCAAAAAUAUGUUGAUUAACUAAAGUAAACUAAACAAGUAACAAUGGUGUGUGUAGUCAGUAGUGUGAGUGUGGUUGUGUGCAUAAAUGUGAUAAUGAGGGGUGUUGAAAGGUGCCAAAGCAAACAAACAUAACAGCCACAAAAAUACCACACCCAACAGUGUGUCUGCAUGGGGAGAGUCUCCCCAAUGAAUGGGGGAAAGGUGUAUUUAUCCUGGGACACACCGGAGCCCACCGACAUCCUAAUAAGGAAAACAAGAGCAAAGAGAAAGAAUUGGGCAGACCGAGUGGGAGGGUGGUCACACAGUAAGGCGGAUGUGUUGACCUCGCAGUAUCACACUGUAGUUUCAGUAUGUUAGCCAGACCAGUGAGUCCGGAUGUAUACUGUAGGACUUGGGCCACGCCGCCCAUAUGUAACAGUCGUCCCGUUGGGCCUUUUGUGUUUGCGUCA